CCAACUCUGGAAUAUGCGCCAAACUCUUAUUUUGAACCUACAUUUAUACGUUGGAAGCCUAAUAUUUAGAUGAAGAAAUGUACCUACUUGUGAGUCCUUUUACGGCAUUGAAGGCGAUUGACACUUCUGUGAAGGCAUCCCCCUAUCGAGAGAUAGGUGUCAAAAUAGGGGUAACGGUAUUUUGGAGUAUUU
rnacentral:other from 1 species